rnacentral:rRNA from 1 species
AGUCGAGCGAAUGACGAGAAGCUUGCUUCUCUGAUUUAGCGGCGGACGGGUGAGUACACGUGGGCCACCUGCCCUGCGAUGGGGAUAACUCACGGAAACCUGGGCUAAUACCGGAUAAUCCUUCGAAUCACAUGUUUUGAAGUUGAAAGGCGCUUCGGCGUCACUGUAGGAUGGGCCCGCGGUGCUUUAGCUAGUUGGUGGGGUAACGGCCUACCAAGGCAACGAUGCAGAGCCGACCUGAGAGGGUGAUCGGCCACAUUGGGACUGAGACACGGCCCAAACUCCUACGGGAGGCAGCAGUAGGGAAUCUUCCACAAUGGACGAAAGUCUGAUGGAGCAACGCCGCGUGAGUGAUGAAGGUUUUCGGAUCGUAAAACUCUGUUGUAAGGGAAGAACAAGUACGUUAGGAAAUGAACGUACCUUGACGGUACCUUAUUAGAAAGCCACGGCUAACUACGUGCCAGCAGCCGCGGUAAUACGUAGGUGGCAAGCGUUGUCCGGAUUUAUUGGGCGUAAAGCGCGCGCAGGUGGUUUCUUAAGUCUGAUGUGAAAGCCCACGGCUCAACCGUGGAGGGUCAUUGGAAACUGGGGAACUUGAGUGCAGAAGAGGAUAGUGGAAUUCCAAGUGUAGCGGUGAAAUGCUAGAGAUUUGGAGGAACACCAGUGGCGAAGGCSACUGUCUGGUCUGUAACUGACCCUGAGGCGGGAAGUGCGUGGGGGAGCAAACACGAUUCAAUACCCCGGGUAGUCCCCCCGUAUAUAAUGAAUUGCUAAGUGUUAGGGGGUGUUGUCCCCUUGUGCUGCAGCUAACGCAUUAAGCACUCCGCCUGGGGAGUACGACCGCAAGGUUGAAACUCAAAGGAAUUGACGGGGGCCCGCACAAGCGGUGGACCAUGUGGUUUAAUUCGAAGCAACGCGAAGAACCUUACCAGUCUUGACAUCCCAAUGACCGUCCUAGAGAUAGAUUUUCCCUUCGGGGACAUUGGUGACAGUGUGCAUGUUGUCGUCAGCUCGUGUCGUGAGAUGUUGGGUUAAGUCCCGCAACGAGCGCAACCCUUAUUCUUAGUUGCCAUCAUUUAGUUGGGCACUCUAAGGAGACUGCCGGUGACAAACCGGAGGAAGGUGGGGAUGACGUCAAAUCAU